rnacentral:rRNA from 1 species
AUUGAACGCUAGCGGGAUGCCUUACACAUGCAAGUCGAACGGCGUGGCGAACGGGUGAGUAAUGUAACGGAACGUGCCCCGUCGCGGGGGAUAACUACGCGAAAGGGUAGCUAAUACCGCAUACUCUUGGAGCGGCCGGUAUCGGGUUAGCUAGUUGGUGGGGUAAGGGCUCACCAAGGCCACGAUCCGUAGCUGGUUUGAGAGGAUGACCAGCCACACUGGAACUGAGACACGGCCCAGACUCCUACGGGAGGCAGCAGUGGGGAAUUUUGGACAAUGGGGGAAACCCUGAUCCAGCCAUGCCGCGUGUGCGAUGAAGGCCUUCGGGUUGUAAAGCACUUUUGGCAGGAAAGCGGUACCUGCAGAAGAAGCACCGGCUAACUACGUGCCAGCAGCCGCGGUAAUUC